GCCCCUGUAGUUAAACGGAUAUAACGGAGGAUUCCUAAUCCUCAAUUCUGGGUUCAAUUCCCGGCAGGGGUACCA
rnacentral:tRNA from 1 species